UAGCUUAAUUAAAGCUCUCCGCUUACACCGAAGAAAUAUCUGUGAAACUCAGAUCAUCUUGAG
rnacentral:tRNA from 1 species